AAGGAAAUGGAGUCACUCUCUUUCAUAGCUUCAAUGACAUCUGUGAUGGAAGUGACAGGUUGUCCGUUUAUGCUGCAGGCGUUCCUUGAAUCACUUCAUAUACGAAGACCCCAGAAUUCACGUCAGGGAAAUCUGGAUCCUGAUUCUUCAUUUCUUGGAGAAGGCUAAGAAACAAGGGCAGGUUUCCAUGAUGUUAAAAUUAAAAGUGAUGAAUGAAA